AAAACACAAAAAAUUCAAAUAAAGGAAGCCAAAAGAACUAAUAUCAAAGUUUUUUUGGAGAAAAACAAAUCAUAACACAUAAAUUGACGAGAUCAAUUUGUCGCGGCUUGAAAAAUACGCGAGCGAAUAUAUGCUCGAAUGAUAAUGAAGUCGGAACCAAAUUUAUUUUAAAAAGAGAAAACGUCGAUAAAACCUUAAAAGAAAAAAAGAAAGAUG
rnacentral:lncRNA from 1 species